ensembl:lncRNA
UCCUUGUUCUCUGUUUAUGAUGCCUCUUCUCAUUGUGCUCAUAUUUCCUGGAUACCUACCCUUGCCUAAAAAGAUCAAGCCUUUUAUGUUACACUUGAUCACCUUAAGUCGUCCAGUGUCCUUGUUGAGGUUAUCAGUUCUCUUUAUUUUUAAAUAUAUCUAGGAGGCCUCCAAAAACUGAGAGAUACAGGAAUAAAACUUUCCUGGCCUUGAAUUUAAAGAAGAAGUCAGGUUCAUAGUAACACUACACUCAUCGGUAUGUUGGCCUCCAAAAGACAUUUGCUCAGUUACAUACACCUUUUAUAUUCCCCCCCCCAAAAAAAGGAUUAUAAAGAUUAUAUAAAUUGUGUUUAUCACCUUUCCACUCAUUCUCUAAGAGCAAGGACAUGACACAUGGGCCCUUAGAUCAGGAGCUAUGAUCUCUUCCAUAACAGUCUCUUACUUCUAUAACAAAUGAGCCCCUAAACAUCCAGCUGUCUCUGUAAAACCUAUGUAAAUAAUAAAUAAAAAAUUACAUGUCAAAUGAAAAAAAUUAAAACUCAAUGGGCCAGAUAGAUAUGCCCCCCAAGGUACUAAUCAAUAGUGGGGUACGUUUGGUUCCUGGAGCUCAUGGCUCACCUGGCUAUUACUACUCUUGGGACCCCUCAGUAGUAUCUGUUUAAUUCUCUGGUUUGGACCGUGCCUGGUUCGCUGUUUUCAAAAUUUCUUGCAGAAACGAUUGAGGGCAUUCACCAGCCAGACAGUCACAGAGUUCAUCAUGGCAGGGUAUCAGCCAGUACGGCAAAAGGAAGAGGCCCCCACUUGCCACGGGCCUCAUCAGAUCCAGGUCUAGCCCCAAUCUGCGCCCCUUGUCAGCAGGAAGCAGCUCCAGAAGAAGAGACCUUCACCCAACUAUCAUACAACAAAAGCCUGGAAUGAUAGGUCUCCCACCACCUCAGCAGCUAUUAAGUACAGUAGCUGCCCUCUUCCUAUGGUGCCUUGCCCCUUCCCCUGUGUGAUGUCAUGCCAAGAUGGUUGCUCCCACCAAAGAACAAACCCUUCUUCCCAGCAUGCCCCUGUUCCCACCUAGACAGUAACCUAAUACUCGCUCACCUCCUACCACCUAGUGACAUCACCGGCUCCUCCACUCCCUGAUCACUACCUCACUCAACCCCACCUCAGCCCCUACAAGCCCCACCCCAGUCUCUAUAAAAGACUCUCCCUGCCCCGGCCAUAUUGCUUUUGUCUCUCCUUUGUUCAGAGACAGCCCGGCAGAUCUAUUCCCCUAAUAAAGGCUUGCUGUGGCCUGGUCUGGUCUUGGUCUUCGGCCCUUUUACCUGACACCGGUGACCACAUUUUAUGACACAACAGUUUUCAGCCUGUGAAAAUAGUCUCUCGGGAAGAGAUGUGGAACUGUAAGAGGUUAUAGUGUCCUAUCUGACAACUUGCAUGUUUGCAUUAACCCUUUACAUUCAUACAUCAUUGUCUCCUGCUCUGUUGCUCAUAAUCCCCAAGACUCUUGAGAAGUGAGCAGGACUGAAAGGUGCAUCGCAUGGAGUGUAAGUAAAGAGCUUAUUGAGAGUGAGAAUGCAGUUGAUUUGGUUUUUUUUAUGGUACUGGGAAUUGAACCCAGGAUCAAUGGGCUGCCUCUCCAGUCCUUUUAUUUUUUAUUUUGAGACAAAGUCUCACUAAGUUGCCCACACAAGACUCAAACUGGUGAUCAUCCUGCCUCAGCCUCCUUCAGAACUGGGUGUUUUAAAUUUUGUUUUGUUUUUUCAAUCCUACUCCAUUUCUCUUGCUAGGAAAUGACAUUAUUUUAUUAUAAUUUCUCAUUAUUUCCUACAGGAGCCAGCCCCACUGAUUUCAGAGGGCCAUCUAGGGAAAGGUGAAAGAAAUAUGCAUGUUAUCCUAUACACAGAGGGCCUUCCUCUGUCUAAAAGUAAUGCUUGUCCUAGCAAGGCCUUAGUCUGUAUGUGUUCCCAUGUGUGUGAGCUGUUCAGGGAUUACACAUACAUUUUAAAAUAUAUCUAUCAAAAAACCAAUCCAUUGAUCAAUCAAUCAUGUGCCUAAAUUUAUUUUGAAGGUAAGAAAAUGCAUAGUCAUACAUUAAUACCUGUUACUUGGAUUCUUAUAAAUUAGCAAUGUUUUUAAGGAUUCAGGGAGGGGUUUUUGACAGAAACAAAAAUCACUGACUUAAUAUUUGCUUAUAGAUCCAACAAUUUUUAUGAGCUUCUACACACUUGGUAGAUAAUGUACAAGGUAUCAAGAUUGUAAUAUGUAGUCUCUAUUCUCAUAGCUGCUUCUAAUCAAGAAUAAUAUAUUCAAUAUUUCUGUUAGGAGUAAAUUACUAUAUAAGAAUUUCCAUUCAAGCAUAAAAUCAUGUGUCAGAUGGCUAUUACAUCCUACGAGUGCCCCAAGAAGGGGAAAAUAGUGUGUUCUAGAAAGGCAUCUCUGUGAAGGAGCAGAGAAUUGGCUACACCUCGAACGAUGAGGAACAUUUAAACAGGUACAACAGUGGUAGGAGUGAGGUGAUGAACCUGGUUUUAUGUUGUUACUAGAGAAGCUGGACCUGAAUUAAAGUUGAGCAUGUAUUAUCUCAGAUACUUCUGAACCUGGGAGAUGAAGGUGGUUUACCCUGCUACUCUGCUACGUGGUCUGCUUAAGAUGCACUGCCUCGCCACAGGCCAAACCAAAGGGGCCAAUGAAAAUGGGCUGGAACCUCCAAAAGUUAACUGGUUGAAAACUUCCAUGUGCAGAAGUCCAAGAAAUCCCAACCUCCAGCCAGCAACCAAUGCAAGACUACUAUCCUGAUGUACUGUCACACUGGAGUCAUUUAAAGUCAGUUUUUCUAUGGCACUCUUCAGGUUAUUAUAUUCAGACUGAUCUAUAGGAUACAUUCCUGCAAAUACCAUUGGUUUCACUGAUUUAAAUACAGGCAAGGGCUCCACUGGAUGAUUAUGUAAAUACAACGUAUCUCCUAUUUGUGCUUCAGUGACAUCUUUCAUCCCAGCAAUCAAAUAGCCCACCUGUCCUGCAUAUAAUUUAAGAGUUGGCUGCUCAUUAGGAUUCAGAACUCCUGCUUCAUUAACUUUGCAUGUCUUUUGAGUAUGUGCUGAUACAAUUUUAUCUCCUUUGGAAACCCACUCCAUCAAACAACACUACAUUGGCUAUCACACCUCUAUAUUGGUCAAAGGUGGAGUCAAAUACCAAAACUCUCAGAGGAUUUUUGCGAUGCACCUUAGGAAGGGGUAUUCUUUCAAUAACUGCCUGAAGAACAUGUUCAACAUUUGUUCCAAGUUUAGCAGAAAUCUUAAUACAAUCAUCACUUGGAAUAUCAAAUACUUUUUCAAUUUGUUUUUCAACCCUUUCAGGAUGUGCAUUCUUCAGAUCUGUCUUGUUUAUAACUGGAAUUAUUGACAGCUGUGCUUCAAAAGCAAGAAAGAAGUUUGCUACAGUUUGGGCUUGAAUACCCUCAUUUGCAUCGACCACCAGUAAAACACCCUGGCAAGCAGAAAGUGACCUGGAUACUUCAUAACUGAAAUCAACAUGGCCUGGUGUAUCAAUAAGAUUUAAAACGUACUCCUUUCCUUCAAAAUUGUAAAAAAGAGAUGCUGUCUGUGCUUUAACAGUGAUUCCUGUUUCUCGUUCCACUUGCAGUUUAUCAAGAACUUGCUUAUUGUCUUAUCAACUGUUCCUGUUAGUUCUAACAGCCUGUCAGCUGAAGUACUUUUGCCAUGAUCCACAUGUGCAAUGAUACUGAAAUUUCUAGUAUCUUCAACAGGAAAUCUAGAUGUGUCUGGUUUUUCCCAAGAUCACAUUGGAGGAGCUGUGGAAGGAUUAAAUAAGCAGAAUGGAGCCCGCGUGCUCCAGGCUCUGCCACCCUAGAAAUAACUGGAAGCGGGGUCCACUCGCAAUCCCAGGAAGCCCCGAAAGAGUGCAUGGAGCACGCUGUGAAGUCCAGAAGGGGGCGUAAUCACGGGCUUAGAGGCGGUCACCUUGUGCCGUGCAGAGCUGCAGAGCCUGUCGCUAGCCCAGGACCCUGCAGCAGCCCCGUGUCUGGCAGCGGGCCAGAACCGGGGUGGCUGGGGUCGUGCGGCCCCUGUGGCACAUGGCAGGAGCACGCGUCUGUGCCAGCAGCCCCGGCCUGCGAGGGUCCACAUGGCCUGGGCACUGGAGCCCACAAGCUGGUUUGUUCCCAAGAGCCCAGCUAAGCGCCGCAAGGAAGAAUCUGGAUCGCUCUAGAGGCUAAAUCAGGUUGCCUUCCAGUUUUCACCCCACGACUCCCGGCAGGAGGCCAGAAACCAGCACCUUCGCUCUCAUUUUUUGUUCUGUAUACCCUAAAGUUGAAUUGCUAAAUCAUAUGGUAAUUCUGGUUUUAGUUUUUAGAGAAACUACCAUAUAGUUUAAUAUAGUAGCUGUAUCAUUUUCUAUUGCCACUAAUGGUGUUCAUGGUUGCAAUUUCUCCCCAUCCUUGCCAACACUUAUUUUUAAAAAAAUAGUAGCCAUUCUAAUGAGUGUGAGGUGGUAUCUCAUUGUGACUUUAAUUUGCUUUUCCCUAAUGAAGCAUCAAUAUUUUUUCCAGGAAAUUUAUAGUUUAACUCUUCCAUUUAAAUCUUUAAUCCAUUUUGAGUUAAUCUUUAUAUGUAAUGACUUUAUUUUUUUGCAUGUGAACAUACAAUUUUUCCAGAACUACUUGUUGAAAAGACUUUCUCUUCCCAUUUACUGGCCUUGGAAAUCUUGUCAAAAAUAAUUAGGUCACUUGUGAAGGGUUUAUUUCUGUACUGUUUAUUCUAUUCCACUGAUCUAUGUCUGUUUUUAAUGUCUUUAUGUGCCAUACUGUUUUGAUUACUAUAGCUUUGUAAUAAGUUUUGACAAAAUGUGAUUGGUCCAAAGCUGUUCUUUUUCUUAAUUAUUUUGUUAUUCUGGAUCCCCAGUUGAUCUGAGGAUGGAUUUUUCUGUUUCUGCCAAAAAGUACCACUGAGAUUUUGAUAGAAAUUUCAUAAAAUCUUUGGGUUAUUUGGUUAAUACUGAUAUCUGUUUUCAUUUCUUUCUCUCUUUUUUUUUUCGUACCAGGGAUCGAGCUUGGGACCUGGUGCUUGUGAGGUGGUUGGCAGCACCACUGAGCUAAAUCCCCCACCCUGUUUUCAUUUCUUCUGACACAAGAUUAACCAACUUCAAAAUUGUUACACUUAGUUUCUAAAAGAGACAAGGAGAACUGCUGUGCUUAAAGAACUUUCAGAGAUUGUGCACAAUGUGCCCGCAGGGCUGUGUUCCUCUUUUCCCUCCUAGAACCGGUCCAUGUUUUAUUCCCAGCCAGCCUCCUCUUAGCAGAACAGGACAUGAACACUCGUGUAAAAGUCCUUACAAUAUUUGUGCUAGUCAAUCGGCAUAAAUUCAAACGUGCAAUGAUGGAAUCAUUGGUACUACUUUUAAUUCCAGGGAAAAAGGACUUUUUGGUUGAUCAGUGGCAAGUGCCAGCCCGCUAUAAAUGUAGACUCUCUCCCUCCCUUGCUUCCUACAGCAAUAGGCCCUUAACUGCUCCUUAGCAAUUUUGCAUUGCCCAUUUUGCUUCAUAUAUAUAUUUCUUUUUAGGACUGAGAAUUUGAACCUCUUUGACAAGUCUUUAAAAAUGCAUCAUUAUGGGAGAGACUAAUUAUUCUUAGGACUUUGAUAAUCUUUUAUUUUUGAAAGGCCAUUCAUUCAUAUAUAUAUGUAUUUCUUUUUAGGACUGAGAAUUUGAACCUCUUUGACAAGCCUUUAAAAAUGCAUCAUUAUGGGAGAGACUAAUUAUUCUUAGGACUUUGAUAAUCUUUUAUUUUUGAAAGGCCAUCCAUUCACCUGUUUUGUUCAUUCAGAUGAAAAUUAAUAGAACACACAUCAUGAUUUUCAAAGCUAUUUUGAAAUGAUGGAAACCCUGCCCAAACCUUUGAAGAAAAGCACUUGCUUUAAUAGAUUUGAGAAGGUAUCCUAGCAACCACUCUAUAGUGAAAUUUAUCAAUUUCUCAGGGAGAAUUUGUAUUAAAUCCAAGAAAGAGACACUUCAAUUUUAAUUUCUUAGAGUCAUUUUUUCUACAUUGUUUCAGAGAUCGGACAUUCUUAGAUAUCUUCACUCUUGAGACUUCAUUUAAUAACCACUAAAAGCAUAUUUGAUGUUACCCUACAUGGGCUGUCUCCUUCAGUGGUACUGAAUUCCAGCUGGUACAGAAAGAUGAUAGAUAGAUAGGAGGUGUAUAUUUUAAAAUAGUAUAAGAAGCCAAAAAAAGUGCAAAAAUAUUAUAUAUGUAUUUGUGCUUUUUUGUUUUUAUUUCUAUACAUGCAAAAAUAUGGCCCAAAACCUUGUUGACCCUGAGGAAGCCUGAGGCCUAGAAAACAUUCAUUCACACUAAUCUGGCUUUUCUUUGGUUUUAUAAAAGGGAAGAGAUUUAUUUGGUUUUGCUUUCAGAUUUCAGUUAUUUCUAAAUUGAAAACUUUAAAAAAAUGUGAAUGCAAAUGAAAAUAGAAUUUGUUUCCAGAUGUAUAAACACAUCAAGCAUGAAAUGACAUGAACCAAAUAUGCAUUCUGCAAGUAGGAUUCAGAAGUGAGCUGGCUAUUAAAAUUAAAUAGUGUUAACAAUGCAAUUCUAGAUCACCAGGGAAUAGGGCCUGCAUAGAAAAUUCAUAUGCGUGAGAAAGACUUAGUCUCAGGGGUUUUGUUAUCUUGAAAAGCAAAGUGAAACUGCUAUGUGGAUUGGUCUAUGGGGAUUUAUAGUUUGUGUGUUGUUUGCAGUCAUUUAGUGUCUACCUAGAUAUAUAUGCGGAUGUGUACAUGAGGACAUGCAUGCACACAACAUAGUUAUUUUAAUUAUGAUGCUAUGAUAAUUUAGUUGUAGGGAGAGAAUUUCCAUAACUUAGCAGGAAUGCUAAUGUUUCUUUGAUGUAUGCCAGUGACAGAUGAAGACUUUAUUUAUAAUGUAUUAAGAUGAACCCUACAUUUAUAGCUACAGCUUUCUUCUGGAAUGAUGCCAAUUAACAAGAAUACAAGUAGAGCAUACUUUUCCUUCCAAAAUAGCAGGGAUUCAAUAAAGAUUUGUUGAUUUCAUUAUUCUAUAUUCUUCGAUUAGAUUUUUAUUUAAGUAUAAUAUGAAUUAUAGGGGUGGGAAUGCUGCUCAGUGAAAAGUCCCUGCAUUCAAGUCUCGGUACUAAAAAAAACAAAACUUUUUUACAUUGUUUCUAUUUAGUUUUAUUUUUCAUCCAUGUUUAACCUGUUGGUAUGAAGGAUUAUCUUUUCUUUCUUUUUUCUUUUUUUGGUAUCAGGAAUCAAACUGUAGUCCUUGCACUUUUGAGGCAGGUGGCGGCACCGCUGAGCUAAAUCCCCGGCCCAGAUAAUCUUUUCUUAAACCUCUUGCCUUCACCCACUGUGUCCUGCUCUGUUUUCCUUUCCUUCAUUUCCCCGGGAAGAGUUGAGUUAUUGUUAGUUUUUGGUAGUCGUUGGGGACGGCAGCAAAGAAACCUGAGACAAGGUGACAGAGGCAGAAGAGCCCACCCUAGGAAGAAGGGAUUCUGGUGCUCCUCUCACUUUCCCUGCAAUCUUCCCCAUUUGGCUCCUUCCAUCGGUUGAUCGCUGGACCAAUGUGCGUCUUCACCAGAACAUUCUAAGGAUGCCACAGGCCGAGAAGGCUGGCCAGGGCCACGGUGUCUGAGCUAUUUGAACAGAACAGGUGGAUCCCUGUCACCUUCCUGGCCCUCAGAUCACAACUCAGAACAGCACUCACAGCACUCAUUGAAGUGCUACUGUGACUUGCUAUGUGCUCUAUUUGCAAUACAUUGAUUAUUGGGAACCUAGGAAGCAAUUUUCAAAAAAAAAAAAAUCCCCUUCCUUAUGACUAGGUUCCUAGAUCUUGGAUCACUCUGACUAUUGUUUAUUUCAUUCUCCCUCUCCCUUCUAGUAAAAAAUCCUGGUGCACUGAAUUCCUUUCUGUGUGUAUUUAGUGCAGCAAUCAUAAUGGAUUAGGCUCUUGUAUAGGUCACUUUGAAGCCACCUUUUCCAGGGUUGAGGAAGAUAACUGGAGGAUGAAGCAGGUAGGAAUGCCAAAAGUGAGUGCAGAUCUGCUCAGAACUCUCACUCACCCUGGGUGAGCAUGAGGAGAACCAGGAGUUUAUUGUGAGGGCGCAGGCAGGUGGAGCAGAAGAGGCACAAACGACCACUUAGUGAAAAUAUCAGAAGCAGGUUGAUCCCUUCAGAUGGGAAAACACAGGCCAAUGCCUUUAGUAGGUAUUUUAUCUGUGAAAAGCUAAGCAAAUUUAAGAGCAUCUCAUUAAAAUGUCUCAGAUGAGAGCUCCCCUAAGAGAUUCUAGAGAGCAGGCUAUGCCCAGUGGAAACAAAUAGUACAGAACUUGUUAUUCCUAAUGGUUCAACUCUCAAUCCUGAUGACCUCGAAACAAUUUUUCCUUCAGGCUUUAAAUUUCUCUAUCUGCAGCUCCACUGCAGCGAUGGGGAUUGCAGGCAUCCAGCCACUGAGCUGGAGAAUUGAAUACAGAGAGCAAUGAAAACUAGCAUAGCAGUGUUGCAAUACCCUUAAUUAAAAGAGAAGAGCAUUAAGUGACAUUAAAAACAGAACAAUGUGUUCUUUUGAAUGCUGGUGCUUAAGGAAAAGCAAGUCUAAUUAGAAGAGGAUGAGAGAUUCCAAAUGGGACUUGUGGCUGCUUUCAAGUGCUUUGAGAGUUGGUGGCAGUGAUUUCUUUCGAGCCUGUUUCCUUUCAGGGUUUUUUGUGUAAGUCUGGACCAUUGCCUGCCUCCCUCCAACCAAGCUUUCAUUCUGGCUCACCAGACGAACGAGAAUAUAAUAAAAAGGGAAGAAAAGGAAGAUUCCUGAGAUGAAUGGCUAGAAAGUGGGAAAAGAAAGACAAGUGUAUCAAAGAGGGUACCCAUGGGGGAGGAAGAUUUCACAAAACAGAACGGAGACAAUAAAGAGGGGGACAGAGAAAUGGGUGGGAGGAGACAAGCAAUGGACUAAGAGGCAGGGAGAAAAAUGGAGGGAGAGGGAGGAGAAGACAACGGAAUAUGGAGGCGUGAGAUUUAGGAUGUUGUCUUGUUACACACGUGUGGCAUCCUUGGAUCUCUUGGCUCUUGAAAAAAGUGCUUGGUUUAAAUCCGAGAGACCUAAAAUCAGAUUGCUUUAAAGUCCUUUUCACUCUGGCUGCACAUUAGACUUUAGAUUCACCUAGAAAGCUCAAAUCGUUGCCUAGAUCAGUGCUACCUUCCAGAAAUAAGAGGAAAGGGGCUCAGGUAUCGGAUUUUUAAUUUUAUUUUUAUAUUUUAAGUUUGAUUACCACAUAUUAAUUGUAUAUGUGAACGGGCGCCCCAUGUGAUAGUCCAACUCUCGUAGAAUGUGCACAGAUCAAAUCCAGCCAUGAGCUAGCAAGAAGCUGGGCGUGAGGGACAGAGUGGAGGCGCUGCCUGCGUGGGAGCUGGCCUGGACUUGCUCCCUGAAGGAAGAAGGCUCGGGCGCUGUCCUGUGCUGCCACUUUUUACAGAAUCUGGGCUCACAAAAGCCAUAGGUAAUAUGAAAAAAUAUGGCAUCCCAUGUAGUCACCAACUAAGUUCUUCCAAACACACCGUUCUUGCAAGAUGAACUCUUCUUUGUAGAAUGAAUGUCCCUACUACCUUUUUUGGUGAUUCUUCUGCUGCUUAGACAUAGAAAGGAGCAUAGCGCUUCAGCUCUAGAGUGUCAGUUAAUGUCAAAUGUCACAACACAGAAUUCUGUACUUGGUCAAUGAAAAGUUACUGCUCUGGAUAUUUUAAAGCAAGGGCUAAGAGAUUUGGAAAA